GGCCAAAGAGUUACCUCAUGGCUUAUGCAGGCACCCACACACAAAUUUCAGGACUUGUUCACCUUAUCCACACUUAAACUCACUCGUAGUGGUAACAAGUCCCCUUCAGCUCUCUUGUUGCACAGAGAGAACAUUUGUGUUCUCCUAAAAGUGGGAUGUGCCCUUUGGUGACACAGCCAACUGCUUGUAGGUGGCCUAUACAGGUGGCUCAAAAAUCAUUAGAGAAAGCUAUUAAUGAAAAUAAUUUUUGAAGUGUACCUUAGGGGGAUGCAGCAUCUGAGCAGCAGCCACCUGUGGUGCAGGGGCCGGGGAUGCAAACACCAAAGCAUGUGGUGCAUCUGCACCAGGGUCUCAGGACACUGAAGAACACCAACCAAUUCACAGCCCUGUCAGACCUGGUACAGCCUUGUCAGGAUGUAGCUAUCCUGACUGGGAUGUCAUUACUUUCUGAAAUGGAUAGGCUUAUGUAGCCCACUGAGACAAUGAAGAGGUGCUGACUCCCUGGUUGCCAAAUUCAGCGUUCCUUAUGUCACAGAUCUUUCAGACUUGAAGUUUAGACUGGAAAACUGUAAUUCCUCCAGCCACAAAAGAAGAGAAGAAUUUAUUUUCUCUAGAAAUCAGAUCCUCUGUGAAAUGAACUUCCCAGGGCUUUUUGGCAGUAAGUGUGAACUCAUCACCACAGCUUGGAAUGGAGAGCUGAAAGUGGCCCAGAAAAAGGAAGAAGCAGGCUCAGUGAAUGGAAUGACUUCUGUGUGAGAAAAAGCAAAAUAUACUGGGUAUUUUCAUCUUGGGGAAGAGAUGAAGCCUGAUAACAUCAUGAAUGGAUGAAACCCCAGAAGUUACUAUGUCACCAGGAGCAGGAGAGGGUCACUCAGUGCCUGCAUUACUUCUCAUAUGCUUCACUUGAGUGUUUCCUGCUGACCACACUAAGGGUAUAGAGCCAGGCUUUUCCUCAUCUUCCAUCACUAUCUGACAUGGGAGACCUAAAUGUAUCAGCGUCUGUCCCUCACAGCUCUUCAAAAUGUCAGAGAAACAGCCAAAUCCCUAUUUACAAGGGGAUCACUGUCCUAGGAAAGGUCUACUGGGAUGGGAAAGGCCCUGAGGGACUGACAGCCACCUUCUUCCUCCCCGUGCUCUGUGGUGCCCUGGAGAAAUGGCUAUGAAGCACCUUGCCAUGCCAGCCCUUCUCCUGCCAGUCCUCCCAGAACUUGCUGCCUCUGGGCUGCAUCCAGUCCUUGUGACUAAGGCACAGUGAGAGAGGAAAAAGAACCCCUCAGUGCAGCAAAACCCUCAAGUCCUUAGUCAACACCGAAGCGAAGCCUACGUGGUUUGGUCAAAAUCCAGCAGCACAUCUGUGGAAGAGGUGGGAGCUGGAUCCAACCCUUUUCUGACUUGGAUAGUAACCUGUAAUUACAGUUGUCAGACUGUAAGACACCUAAUAUAUCCUUCUUCAAUAUUCUUUUUUC